rnacentral:lncRNA from 10 species
AGCUGCUAGGCCUCUUACAAGCCAGGCAUGGAACCGGCACAAGUGAAAGCAGGUCACAAGGCCAGCCCAAAUUCUAGGGAGGAGAAAUAGUGCCACCUCUUGACAGGAGCCUGCGUGUCCAGGGACAGGAGGCGUUGUUGGCGGCCAUCUUUGGAGGCAUCUCCCUCAGCUGGGAAAGGAAGCCUGAACCCUUGUUUUCCAGAUGUGCGGUGACCAAGUUCUGACAAUGGGGAUGAAGAUAACACCAUGAAGGAUACAGAGAAACAAGAUGAAAGGAUCUUUGAUACCUGAGUGAUCAUGUGGAACAGAGCCAUCUCCCCACCCUGCACUACUUAACCUUGAGGCUGUUACAUGAGAGGGAUAAACUUCUCUUUUCUUCAAGCCACUGUAUUUUGUGACCUCUUUAUUACAGCGGCUUAGGCUUGCUCUAAUUAAUAUAUUCCCAAACACCUUUCCUCCAAUGACUAGAAAAAUCCUCCCAGUUAGGAAUUUUGGAGAGAAAGGAGAGAAGGGUAGAGGCUAUAUAACCCCGCACCCCAUCACACAUGCACGCGCACACACACACGUACCUUGUCCUUCCCCUAAAACAAGUCACAGAUUUGAUGGCAGGAAGAAAACAAUAAAAUUCCUUUUGAAGUUUGGGGGAUUAAAGAAUAAAGA